UUUUGAUAGGACAGUUUUUGUGACUACAUCCCGUCCCAUUGACAACAUAGGAGCCAUCCUCCCAACUACAACCAGGAAUGAUCAGCAGAGCUGGUACUCUGAGGUCAAUCUCAGUGUCCUCUGUAUCAUGACUGGAUUGCUGGGCGCUAAAUUCCUGACAGCACUCCUGAUCUUUAUCGUUGCCAGCAAAAGGGGAAGAAGAGCCACAGAGCAGGAGAUCCAUGGCCAGCCGGAACAAACACCAGCUCCUCCCACUCACAGGACUAACGCAAGGAAAGGAAAACGCUAGUAAGACAAGGAUGUGAUGGAAGGAGGAAGAGAAGUAGGCAAAGAAAAAGAAUUCCAAGAGUCUUUCCAGCCAAGCUCCCAACUCCUCCAGCACUUAUACGUAUACAUGCAGAGAUACUCACACAGAUAUUGACACCUGCAGACACACACACCUCCUUCGGAUGAGAAAGUUCUGCUCAGUUUUUCCAGUGCCUCCAGCCAUGACAGAUAAACCUUUGCUUGCUAAACCCUGUUUUACCUGCAAAGCUAAUAGAAAAUGCCUAGGUGCAAAAGGAACUAAAGAUACAGCAUUUGGCAGUGCGCACACUUAAUUCCAGAGAGAGACUUGGAGUGUUGCAUCUGAGCCAUCAGGACCAAUGUCCAGGGGCUGCAAUGGGAUAUAUGCAUU